rnacentral:rRNA from 1 species
GGGCCCCUUGGGGAAGGGGGUGCCCAUCGAAUAGUGCGAGGAAAUAAUAUUGCAUGCGCACACUCUGAAGCUCCUCAAUAAAAACACCUGUGAACCAACUGUAGUCUGGAGACCCUUUUGACUAUGAUUACUCUAUAUAACUCUUAUUGUAUGUUACAUAUAACGAUCUCUAUUGAAGCUUUGUUUUUUUUUACAAGUUUCUCUUAAUUGAAAAAUACACAACUUUCAACAACGGAUCUCUUGGCUCUUGCAUCAAUGAAGAACGCAGCGAAAUGCGAUAAGUAAUGUGAAUUGCAGAAUCCAGUGAAUCAUCAAAUCUUUGAACGCACCUUGCGCCCUUUGGUAUUCCGAGGGGCAUGCCUGUUUGAGAGUCAUUAAAUUCUCAACCUUACAAAUUUUUGUAUUUGUCAAGGCUUGGAUGUGAGAGUUGCUAGUUAAGAAUAUCUGACUGGCUCUCUUUAAAAUUAUUAGUAGGACAUAUAGAAAUGCCUGCGGUUGGUGUGAUAAUAUGUCUACGCCUAUACCAAAGGGGAUUCUAGCUUGUAUGCACUACUUAUAAAAUCAUGGGCAUAUAUCUAGCAUAUAAGUGCAUACAUUCACCGUUGACCUCAAUCCACGUUUGUAUGAUGGGAGG